CCUACGGGGUGCAGCAGUGAGGAAUAUUGGUCAAUGGCCGUAAGGCUGAACCAGCCAAGUCGCGUGAAGGAAGAAGGAUCUAUGGUUUGUAAACUUCUUUUAUAGGGGAAUAAAGGUAUCCACGUGUGGAUAUGUGCAUGUACCCUAUGCAUAAGCAUAGGCUAACUCCGUGCCAGCAGCCGCGGUAAUACGGAGGAUGCGAGCGUUAUCCGGAUUGAUUGGGUUUAAAGGGUGCGUAGGUUGUUUUUUAAGUCAGGGGUGAAAGUUUGUGGCUCAACCAUAAAAUUGCCGUUGAAACUGGUAGAGUUGAGUGUGUUUGAGGUAGGCGGAAUGCGUGGUGUAGCAGUGAAAUGCAUAGAUAUCACGAAGAACUCCGAUUGCGAAGGCAGCUUACUAAGACAUAACUGACACUGAAGCACGAAAGCGUGGGGAUCAAACAGGAUUAGAUACCCCUGUAGUC
rnacentral:rRNA from 1 species